rnacentral:rRNA from 1 species
CCAAUAGCGUAUAUUAAAGUUGUUGCAGUUAAAAAGCUCGUAGUUGAAUUUCGGGAUCAGUAUGUUGGUCGUGCUUCGGUACGUACUGUCAUUACUGGUUUCUCCCUUCUGAAGAACCUUGAUGUCAUUAAUUUGGUGUCUUGGGGAAUCAGGACUGUUACUUUGAAAAAAUUAGAGUGUUUAAAGCAGGCAUACGCUUGAAUACAUUAGCAUGGAAUAAUGAAAUAGGACGUUUGAUUCUAUUUUGUUGGUUUCUAGGAUCGACGUAAUGAUUAAUAGGGAUAGUUGGGGGCAUUAGUAUUCAAUUGUCAGAGGUGAAAUUCUUGGAUUUAUUGAAGACUAACUACUGCGAAAGCAUUUGCCAAGGAUGUUUUCAUUAAUCAAGAACGAAAGUUAGGGGAUCGAAGACGAUCAGAUACCGUCGUAGUCUUAACCAUAAACUAUGCCGACUAGGGAUCGGAUGAUGUUAUUUUAAUGACUCAUUCGGCGCCUUACGGGAAA